rnacentral:rRNA from 1 species
AUUGAACGCUGGCGGCAUGCUUUACACAUGCCAGUCGAACGGCAGCGCGGGCUUCGGUCUGGCGGCGAGUGGCGAACGGGUGAGUAAUUCAUCGGAACGUGCCCAGUAGUGGGGGAUAGCCCGGCGAAAGCCGGAUUAAUACCGCAUACGCCCUGAGGGUGUAAGCGGGGGACCGGAAGGCCUCGCGCUAUUGCACGGGUCGAUGUCGGAUUAGCUAGUUGGUGGGGUAAAGGCUUACCAAGGCGACGAUCCGUAGCUGGUCUGAGAGGACGACCAGCCACACUGGGACUGAGACACGGCCCAGACUCCUACGGGAGGCAGCAGUGGGGAAUUUUGGACAAUGGGGGCAACCCUGAUCCAGCCAUGCCGCGUGCGGGAAGAAGGCCUUCGGGUUGUAAACCGCUUUUGUUCGGGAAGAAAUGCUCUGGGCUAAUACCCCGGGGGGAUGACGGUACCGGAAGAAUAAGCACCGGCUAACUACGUG